GGACCUACGGGGGGCAGCAGUGGGGAAUAUUGCGCAAUGGGGGAAACCCUGACGCAGCAACGCCGCGUGCGGGAUGAAGGCUUUCGGGUUGUAAACCGCUUUCAGCAGGGAUGACUUCGACAGUACCUGCAGAAGAAGCCCCGGCUAACUACGUGCCAGCAGCCGCGGUAAUACGUAGGGGGCGAGCGUUAUCCGGAUUUAUUGGGCGUAAAGAGUUCGUAGGCGGUUUGUUAAGUCUAAAAUUCAAGCCCGAGGCUUAACCUCGGUUCGUUUCAGAAACUGGCAAACUUGUGUGUGGUAGAGGG
rnacentral:rRNA from 1 species